CGCGUAGGCGGCCCGUUAAGUCUGGAGUGAAAGUCCUGCUUUUAAGGUGGGAACUGCUUUGGAUACUGAUGGGCUUGAGUGCAGGAGAGGUAAGCGGAAUUCCCGGUGUAGCGGUGAAAUGCGUAGAGAUCGGGAGGAACACCAGUGGCGAAGGCGGCUUACUGGACUGUAACUGACGCUGAGGCGCGAAAGUGUGGGGAGCAAACAG
rnacentral:rRNA from 1 species